rnacentral:rRNA from 1 species
GGGCCCGCACAAGCGGUGGAGCAUGUGGUUUAAUUCGAUGAUACGCGAGGAACCUUACCAAGGCUUAAAUGUAGAGGGACAGGCGGCGAAAGUUGCCCUUCUUCGGACUCUCUACAAGGUGCUGCAUGGUUGUCGUCAGCUCGUGCCGUGAGGUGUCGGGUUAAGUCCCAUAACGAGCGCAACCCCUAUCUUUAGUUGCCAGCGGUUCGGCCGGGGACUCUAAAGAAACUGCCCGCGCAAGCGGUGAGGAAGGUGGGGAUGACGUCAAAUCAUCACGGCCCUUACGUCUUGGGCUACACACGUGCUACAAUGGUCGGUACAGAGAGCAGCCACUACGCGAGGAGGCGCAAAUCCACAAACACUAUCUCAGUUCGGAUCGGAGUCUGCAACUCGACUCCGUG